AUCGCUUCUUGGCCUUUUGGCUAAGAUCAAGUGUACAGUUGAAAGAUGUUAGAAAAAAAAAUUUAUUUUUUUGGUACUGGGGAUCGAACUAAGGACCUUGCGCUUGCCAGGCAGGUAGCAGCACCACUG
rnacentral:snRNA from 1 species